GACGAACGCUGGCGGCGUGCUUAACACAUGCAAGUCAGGGGGCCGGGUAACCGGUCACCGGCGAACGGGUGCGGAACACGUGAGCGACCUGCCCUGGUGUGGGGGAUAGCCGGCCCAACGGCCGGGUAAUACCGCAUACGGCCUGCGCUUGGAGGCGCAUGGCGAAACGCGCAAGCGGCGCUAGGAGGGGCUCGCGGCCUAUCAGCUAGUUGGGGGG
rnacentral:rRNA from 1 species